rnacentral:rRNA from 1 species
UACGUAGGGUGCAAGCGUUGUCCGGAUUCAUUGGGCGUAAAGAGCUCGUAGGCGGCUUGGUAAGUCGGGUGUGAAACCUCCAGGCUCAACCUGGAGACGCCACUCGAUACUGCCAUGGCUAGAGUCCGGUAGGGGCCCACGGAAUUCCUGGUGUAGCGGUGAAAUGCGCAGAUAUCAGGAAGAACACCCGUGGCGAAGGCGGCUCUCUGGAACGCAACUGACGCUGAGACGCGAAAGCGUGGGGAGCAAACAGG